GGACAGGUGGCCGAGUGGUUUAAGGCAGCGGUCUUGAAAACCGCCGUGCGGGUAACCGUACCGUGGGUUCGAAUCCCACCCUGUCCG
rnacentral:tRNA from 1 species